UACGAAGGGGACUAGCGUUGUUCGGAAUCACUGGGCGUAAAGCGCACGUAGGCGGAUGUGUCAGUCAGGGGUGAAAUCCCGGGGCUCAACCUCGGAACUGCCUUUGAUACAGCACGUCUCGAGUCCGGAAGAGGUGGGUGGAAUUCCUGGUGUAGAGGUGAAAUUCGUAGAUAUUAGGAAGAACACCGGUGGCGAAGGCGGCCCACUGGGCCGGUACUGACGCUGAGGUGCGAAAGCGUGGGGAGCAAACAGG
rnacentral:rRNA from 1 species